CUCGGGCUGUGCUUGGCGGAGCGCCGCCAGGGCCGCUGGGCCUCGUCAUGCACCGUGCUGGGCCCGGGCCGGGCUCCUCAGCAGCUCUCUGUUAAGCGUCGCUUCCCUUGGCUUUCAGAAGGCCGCGUUAGCUAGAAAGUCCUGGCAGCGAAUCGCACAGCUGCCGUGCCGGAUCCCCAGCAGCGCCGCACGUUCAGUCCUGGCUGCAGCACAGGGUGAGGGCAGGGAGGGCCCCCCAGGCUCAGGGGUAGCACAGCUCGCACAGCCCCGCUGUACGGCCCAGCUUCGGCACCCUGCAAUCAGCCCGGGACGGACCACCCGCUCCCAAACACGCUGCUCGGCCCGAUGCUGUUCUCUGCUUUUCCUCUCCAAUUCCAAAUCACAGUUGCGUAAUACCCAGAGGCUUUGGUGCUGCUUUUAUUUACAGGCUCUCCUCUAAAUAACCGAACCGUUCUGCUCUCCAAGCGAGGACGUUUGUUGUUGCCUGGACAAGCUGCCUGCCUUUGUCCCACUGGGCUGGGGAAAGCAGCAAUAGUAAGUGCACGUAUGCUUGGUGGUGAAGGCAGGCAGCCACGUGACGGCUCAGUUCCUGUGCCUGAGUAAACACUGCUGGUGCCUUUCGUCCCGCCUGGCCGCCGUGCUGCCUCGAGCUGCUGUUCCCAUCUGCAGUGCGAGCUAAGGGAACACCGGCAGCACUGGUAGGUGCUGUUACCCAGAGGCGGCUGCUGAGCUCAGCACAGCCCUUCUGCUGGUUGUACAAAGGCUGACCGCUCGGCCAGAUGUACCACAAAUCCAAUACUCGGAGCCCCUUUGUGUCACCAAGACGAACGCUGCAGCACCCCGCAGGAGGAAGCCUGUUUGUGGUGUAGAUCUUCACAGCAAGUAAAAACCUCGAAUGUCAUCCAGGUCAAAGAUCCAGCGCUGGGGAGGAAGUUAAAGGCUUUCUGUGUCAUCCUGACCUUUUUUAUUUGAACACAGCAGCGUGGACUAUCAACCUACUUCAGGGAGGGACGUUAAAAGUUCCUUGUGAAAGAAAGCUAACAGCAGGACUAUGGGGAGGAGUCAUUUCAUCUGGCGGUUGCUCUCCUGCUUUUCUAGGUGAGACUUCUGGGAUAAGGCUCUCUAACCUGCCUGCUUUUGUUAACCCUGGACUGGCUUUUGCUCUCUGCAACUUAAUUACGGUACUUAAGAGGAAGUUGAUGAGCGCUUUUAUCCUUCACUGAGGGUUGUGAGCUUUCAAAUCCUAAAAUGAAACAAAUAUUCUGGUGCUGAGGAGGAAAGGGAACACUGCAUGAGGGCAGAGAAAUUAGGGCACUUGGGGAAUGUGCUUUCAGGCCUAUUUCUGUCUGUGACGGCGAGCUAAAAGGACAGUAACUUUGGGAAGGAGCACAGUGAUCCUUUGGUCCUCACUGUUACUCUUGCCUUGUCUAACCCUGCCCAGCAUCUGUGUCAG
rnacentral:lncRNA from 1 species